UUUUUUUUUUUUUUUUUUGUCAUUCUUCUUUUUGAAAUGGAGUCUCUCUCUGUCACCCAGGCUAGAGUGAGGUGGCGUGAUCUUGGCCCACUGCAACUUCUGUCUCCCCAGUUCAAGCGAUUCUCCUGCCUCAGCCCCCUGAGUAGCUGGGAUUACAGGUGCCCAACACCACACCUGACUAAUUUUUGUAUUUUUAGUAGAGACAGUGUUUCACCAUGUUGGCCAGGCUGGUCUCGAACUCCUGACUUCAGGUGAUCUGCCCAUCUCGGCUUCCCAAAAUGCUGGGAUCACAGGCAUGAACCACUAUGCCUGGCCUGCCAUUAUUCUUACGAUAUGGAAAAAUAUGGAUUCUGGCUGCUUUGGUUUUUAUGCAUUGCCGCACACUCCUGAGCGUUUGCCUGGCCGGCCUGGCUGCCUGCCCCGUGCCUCUCCCUUGUACAGGUGGUGCUGGGCCACCUGCCUGCAUGUUCUCAAGGUCCCCUGCCCUGCCCCGUCCCCCUGUUGGAGGCUCAGCCCCCGGUCUGAUCGCUGCCUGUGGGGAACACAGAUGGCUCAGGUUCCCCAGGUAACAGGGGGGGCCCCACUGCCCUGGAGAGACUAGAACAGUGGCUCAGAAUUUUCUCAGGUCAGAAGGACAGGGAAACUGAGGGCCAGGAGAGAAGCAGUGGUGCGGGAAGGCAUGCACCGCCCUCCUCAUCCACCCUGACUGUCCUUUCUGUGACCACUUCCCAGUCUUAUGUGCUCACCCUCAGCAAGCAUUUAUUUACCACUCGAGGAGUCUUUUCUCAUUAAUCUCUGAAGCAUUCAGUCAUCUUCAUCUUUCCUUCCUUCAUCCUCUUUUUAAAAAAUCCAUUUAUUCAGACAAACUGUGGUGGCACACACCUGUAAUCCCAGCAUUUUGGGAGGUCGAGGCAGAAGGAUCACUUGAGGCCAGGAGUUCAAGACCAGCCUGAGCAAUACAGUGAGACUUUGUUUCCACAAAACAUAAAAAUGAGCUGGAGUGGUGGCAUGCGCCUGUGGUCCUAGCUACUCAGGAGGGUGAUGUGGGAGGAUCGUUUGAGCCUGGGAAAUCAAGGCUGCACUGAGCUAGGAUUGUGCCACUGCACUCCAACCUGGGCAACAGAGCAAGACCUUGUCUCAGAUAAUAAUUUUUUAAAAAUCAAUGUAUUAUGCAAUGUUUCUGAGUUCCAGCUGAGCAGGCGCCCUGAAGGAAUUGUGGUUCCCGUCCUCCUGUCCAGAGAGGCCAAAGCCCCCAGCUCUCAAAGGCACAAGAGUGGCUGGUCCAGUGGCUGUGGGGAGGGGGGCCAUAGGUCCCUGACCCCAGCACAGGUGCCCAGAUUAGAUUCACACAUAUUUCCUGGGAAAAUGCAUCAGGGAAGACCUGCACCGCCACUCUCACUGCGGCCAGAUCACUUCCCAGUGCCUUCCUGUGCAGAAAAACAGAAGCUUUCGGGCCAGGGUCCUGGGGAAUCUCAUCCCAGCACUGGUCUUGCUGGCUGUCCCAAGGCGUCGGAUGCCAGAUUCCUGACGUUAUGAGGAGCACCAGGUGCCC
ensembl:lncRNA